ACAAGUUAAAAGAAUACCCUUUUUCUGUCAAAGGGUUUUCUUUGUUCGAUUGGAGAGGAAGGAGAACCAGACAACACUUCUAUCUCGAGCCCCAGCCCAACUCCAUCGCACCUCAACUCCAACAGCAGCAGCAGGUCGACAGCAGAGACAUCUCUGCUCUUGCAGCCGAAAUGGGGAAACUAUUCAGCUAAAGGGUCUUUUGACCCUCCAUCUUUUUGUUGGACCCCUUCCCAAGAAGGCUUUGUGAAGAUUAACGUGGAUGGAGGUUUCAGAGCCCCUAAUAAAGCUUCUUAUGGUAUUAUAGCUCGAGAUUCAGCAGGUUUUUGCCAUUGGGCUUCUUGUGUUCCUCUCCUGGCUGAAUCUCCUUUAAUGGCAGAGGCUCUGGCUCUGGUAGAAGCAGCAGUCAAAGCUGUGAGAAGAUCUGGUUUAUCACGGGUUUUUGUCGAAUCAGACUGUCAAAACUUGAUUUCUCACCUCAACAGUUCAGCUAAUUUAAGUCCUUCGGAUCUGUUUUUUUUUUUUUUUUUUAAAGGAGGAUCUUGUUAACCUGUGUGGUGCCGCCGUUCUGCCAAUGGUGCAGCUCAAGAGCUUGCAAAACUGGGUUUUGAUUUUGUUCUGUGGUUUGAGGGUGCUCUGCCCGAUUGGUUAUCUUCUCUGAAUUGUUAUGUCGGUUAAGACUGUUAUUUUUUUAGUUUGUUUUA